UGUAAAUUCACACUGUGACAUGCCCCCUCCUCAUAGCUAUAUAAUACCCUGCCUGUCCUAUACCCUCACCAUCCCUGCCAUUAUACCCACAAUUCCCACCUUGUCAUAGUACCCUCCCUGCCAUUAUACCCCCAAUCCCCACCUUGUCAUAGUACCCUCCCUGCCAUUAUACCCCCAAUCCCCACCUUGUCCUUAAAUAUGUCAAUCCCACAUAAGGGAGCUAUCUGGAAGAUUAAAAUUAAGAAAAAG